UACGUAGGGUGCAAGCGUUUAUCCGGAAUCACUGGGCGUAAAGCGUGCGUAGGUGGCGUGUUAAGUGAGAUGUUAAAUCGUGUGGCUCACACUAUCGAUGCAUCUCAUACUGGCAUGCUAGAGGACGGCAGAGGCAAGUGGAAUUGGUAGUGUAGCAGUGAAAUGCGUAGAUAUUACCAGGAACACCAAUGGCGAAGGCAGCUUGCUGGGCCACUCCUGACACUGAGGUACGAAAGCGUGGGGAGCGAACAGG
rnacentral:rRNA from 1 species